rnacentral:rRNA from 1 species
GAACUUAAUAAUUUGACGGUAUUUAAUAUCAUAAAGGAACUUGUAAUUUAAUCGUCAAUACACGUUUUAUCUCACUUAAUAAAACUUGUAUACCUCCGUUAAAGAUAUUAUUAGAAAUAAAAAUAAAUAUCAAAAAAAUAUUAAAAAAAUUAAUAAAUCAGGUCAAGGUGCAGUUUUUUAAGUUAUUAUGAGCUACAUUCAAAAAAUAUAGAUGAAUUUACUUUUGAAAAAAACCAAUGAAAACGAAUUUAUAAAUAAAGCAAAAUUAGCAUAUUUACUUGAAAAAUUAUUAAAUAUGUACACAUCG